UGAUUGAUCAUGGGGAAAGGGACCGGGUGCCCCAGCCUCUCUUUUCUUUGUCCUCCAUGUACCUUCCCUCUUUGAACCUUAGCAGCUGCAAGGCUGCUGCGCCGCCUGGCCCCAUGAAGCCCUCACACCUGAUGAAGGAAGCCUGACUCUCCCAGA
rnacentral:lncRNA from 1 species